rnacentral:rRNA from 1 species
AUUGAACGCUGGCGGCAUGCCUUACACAUGCAAGUCGAACGGUAACAGGUCUUCGGAUGCUGACGAGUGGCGAACGGGUGAGUAAUACAUCGGAACGUGCCUAGUAGUGGGGGAUAACUACUCGAAAGAGUGGCUAAUACCGCAUGAGAUCUACGGAUGAAAGCAGGGGAUCGCAAGACCUUGUGCUACUAGAGCGGCCGAUGGCAGAUUAGGGAGUUGGUGGGAUAAAAGCUUACCAAGCCGACGAUCUGUAGCUGGUCUGAGAGGACGAUCAGCCACACUGGAACGGAGACCCGGCCCAGACUCCUACGGGAGGCAGCAGUGGGGAAUUUUGGACAAUGGGCGCAAGCCUGAUCCAGCAAUGCCGCGUGCAGGAUGAGGGCCUUCGGGUUGUAAACUGCUUUUGUACGGAACGAAAAGCCCUGGGUUAAUACCCUGGGGUCAUGACGGUACCGUAAGAAUAACCACCGGCUAACUACGUGCCAGCCGCCGCCGUAAAAC